rnacentral:rRNA from 1 species
AUUGAACGCUGGCGGCAUGCCUUGCACAUGCAAGUCGAACGGCAGCGGGCCUUCGGGUGCCGGCGAGUGGCGAACGGGUGAGUAAUGCAUCGGAACGUGCCAUUGAGUGGGGGAUAACGUAGCGAAAGUUGCGCUAAUACCGCAUAUUCUGUGAGCAGGAAAGCAGGGGGACCGCAAGGCCUUGCGCUCUUUGAGCGGCCGAUGUCAGAUUAGCUAGUUGGUGAGGUAAAGGCUUACCAAGGCGACGAUCUGUAGCGGGUCUGAGAGGAUGAUCCGCCACACUGGAACUGAGACACGGUCCAGACUCCUACGGGAGGCAGCAGUGGGGAAUUUUGGACAAUGGGGGCAACCCUGAUCCAGCCAUGCCGCGUGAGUGAAGAAGGCC